rnacentral:rRNA from 1 species
AUAGCCUUUCGAAAGAGAGAUUAAUACCCCGUAAUAAAUUGAACGGCAUCGUUUGAUUUUGAAAGCUCCGGCGGUUUGAGAUGAGUAUGCGUCUGAUUAGCUAGUUGGUGAGGUAACGGCUCACCAAGGCGACGAUCAGUAGGGGACCUGAGAGGAUAAACCCCCCACACUGGUACUGAGACACGGACCAGACUCCUACGGGAGGCAGCAGUAAGGAAUAUUGGUCAAUGGAGGCAACUCUGAACCAGCCAUGCCGCGUGCAGGAUGACGGCCCUAUGGGUUGUAAACUGCUUUUAUACAAGAGAAAACCCUGGUACGUGUACCAAGUUGAUAGUAUUGUAAGAAUAAGCAUCGGCUAACUUCGUG